CAGUCGCCACGGUAAUACGUAGGGUGCAAGCGUUAAUCGGAAUUACUGGGCGUAAAGCGUGCGCAGGCGGUUAUAUAAGUCAGAUGUGGAAUCCCCGGGCUCAACCUGGGAACUGCAUUUGAGACUGUAUGGCUAGAGUGUGUCAGAAGGGGGGUAGAAUUCCACGUGUAGCAGUGAAAUGCGUAGAUAUGUGGAGGAAUGCCGAUGGCGAAGGCAGCCCCCUGGGAUAACACUGACGCUCAUGCACGAAAGCGUGGGGAGCAAACAGGAUUAGAUACCCCAGUAGUCCCUGUCUCUUAUU
rnacentral:rRNA from 1 species